GGCGGGGUAGCUCAGUUGGUUAGAGCAGCGGAAUCAUAAUCCGCGUGUCGGGGGUUCGAGUCCCUCUCCCGCUA
rnacentral:tRNA from 1 species